GAUGAAGAACGUAGCGAAAUGCGAUAAGUAGUGUGAAUUGCAGAAUUCAGUGAAUCAUCGAAUCUUUGAACGCACAUUGCGCCUUCUAGUAUUCUGGGAGGCAUGCCUGUUUGAGCGUCAUUAAACCUCUCUCAAGUAUGAUUACUUGGAUGUGAAGGAAGAGACCUUAAACUUAAGGAGUGUUCUCCUUUGAAAUUGAUUAGCAGAUGGUAAUGUUAUUAAAUCCCUGAUGUUGUAAGAAAUAACAGUGGUUUUGUAGACUAUUAUCUAGCUUUAAAUUAUAAUUUUUAUUAUGGUUGACCUCAAAUCAGGUAAGGAUACCCGCUGAACUUAAGCAUAUCAAUAAGCGGAGGA
rnacentral:misc_RNA from 1 species